rnacentral:rRNA from 1 species
AACGAACGCUGGCGGCAUGCCUAACACAUGCAAGUCGAACGAGACCUUCGGGUCUAGUGGCGCACGGGUGCGUAACGCGUGGGAAUCUGCCCUUGGGUUCGGAAUAACAGUUAGAAAUGACUGCUAAUACCGGAUAAUGUCUUCGGACCAAAGAUUUAUCGCCCAGGGAUGAGCCCGCGUAGGAUUAGCUAGUUGGUGAGGUAAAGGCUCACCAAGGCGACGAUCCUUAGCUGGUCUGAGAGGAUGAUCAGCCACACUGGGACUGAGACACGGCCCAGACUCCUACGGGAGGCAGCAGUGGGGAAUAUUGGACAAUGGGCGAAAGCCUGAUCCAGCAAUGCCGCGUGAGUGAUGAAGGCCUUAGGGUUGUAAAGCUCUUUUACCCGGGAUGAUAAUGACAGUACCGGAGAAUAAGCCCCGGCUAACUCCGUGCCAGCAGCCGCGGUAAU